UUCCCCUACCAGCCGGUUCGCGG
rnacentral:miRNA from 1 species